rnacentral:rRNA from 1 species
UACGUAGGGGGCAAGCGUUGUCCGGAAUCAUUGGGCGUAAAGCGCGCGUAGGCGGCCCGCUAAGUCCGAUGUAAAAGUCAACGGCUCAACUGUUGAAAGCCGGUGGAUACUGUCGGGCUAGAGUACGGAAGAGGCAAGUGGAAUUCCUGGUGUAGCGGUGGAAUGCGCAGAUAUCAGGAGGAACACCUAUAGCGAAGGCAGCUUGCUGGGACGUUACUGACGCUAAGGCGCGAAAGCGUGGGGAGCGAACAGG